CCUACGGGUGGGCUGCAGUGGGGAAUAUUGGACAAUGGGGGGAACCCUGAUCCAGCCAUGCCGCGUGUGUGAAGAAGGCCCUCGGGUUGUAAAGCACUUUCAGUGAGGAAGAACGCCUGGUGGUUAAUACCCAUCAGGAAAGACAUCACUCACAGAAGAAGCACCGGCUAACUCCGUGCCAGCAGCCGCGGUAAUACGGAGGGUGCGAGCGUUAAUCGGAAUUACUGGGCGUAAAGCGCGCGUAGGUGGCUUGAUAAGCCGGUUGUGAAAGCCCCGGGCUCAACCUGGGAACGGCAUCCGGAACUGUCAAGCUAGAGUGCAGGAGAGGAAGGUAGAAUUCCCGGUGUAGCGGUGAAAUGCGUAGAGAUCGGGAGGAAUACCAGUGGCGAAGGCGGCCUUCUGGACUGACACUGACACUGAGGUGCGAAAGCGUGGGUAGCAAACAGGAUUAGAUACCCUGGUAGUC
rnacentral:rRNA from 1 species